ACGCUAGCUACAGGCUUAACACAUGCAAGUCGAGGGGCAGCAUUUUAGUUUGCUUGCAAACUAAAGAUGGCGACCGGCGCACGGGUGAGUAACACGUAUCCAACCUGCCGAUAACUCGGGGAUAGCCUUUCGAAAGAAAGAUUAAUAUCCGAUAGUAUAUUAAAACCGCAUGGUUUUACUAUUAAAGAAUUUCGGUUAUCGAUGGGGAUGCGUUCCAUUAGUUUGUUGGCGGGGUAACGGCCCACCAAGACAACGAUGGAUAGGGGUUCUGAGAGGAAGGUCCCCCACAUUGGAACUGAGACACGGUCCAAACUCCUACGGGAGGCAGCAGUGAGGAAUAUUGGUCAAUGGACGAGAGUCUGAACCAGCCAAGUAGCGUGAAGGAUGACUGCCCUAUGGGUUGUAAACUUCUUUUAUAUGGGAAUAAAGUAUUCCACGUGUGGGAUUUUGUAUGUACCAUAUGAAUAAGGAUCGGCUAACUCCGUGCCAGCAGCCGCGGUAAUACGGAGGAUCCGAGCGUUAUCCGGAUUUAUUGGGUUUAAAGGGAGCGUAGGUGGAUUGUUAAGUCAGUUGUGAAAGUUUGCGGCUCAACCGUAAAAUUGCAGUUGAAACUGGCAGUCUUGAGUACAGUAGAGGUGGGCGGAAUUCGUGGUGUAGCGGUGAAAUGCUUAGAUAUCACGAAGAACUCCGAUUGCGAAGGCAGCUCACUAGACUGCAACUGACACUGAUGCUCGAAAGUGUGGGUAUCAAACAGGAUUAGAUACCCUGGUAGUCCACACAGUAAACGAUGAAUACUCGCUGUUUGCGAUAUACAGUAAGCGGCCAAGCGAAAGCAUUAAGUAUUCCACCUGGGGAGUACGCCGGCAACGGUGAAACUCAAAGGAAUUGACGGGGGCCCGCACAAGCGGAGGAACAUGUGGUUUAAUUCGAUGAUACGCGAGGAACCUUACCCGGGCUUAAAUUGCAUUUGAAUAAUCUGGAAACAGGUUAGCCGCAAGGCAAAUGUGAAGGUGCUGCAUGGUUGUCGUCAGCUCGUGCCGUGAGGUGUCGGCUUAAGUGCCAUAACGAGCGCAACCCUUAUCUUUAGUUACUAACAGGUCAUGCUGAGGACUCUAGAGAGACUGCCGUCGUAAGAUGUGAGGAAGGUGGGGAUGACGUCAAAUCAGCACGGCCCUUACGUCCGGGGCUACACACGUGUUACAAUGGGGGGUACAGAAGGCAGCUACCUGGCGACAGGAUGCUAAUCCCAAAAACCUCUCUCAGUUCGGAUCGAAGUCUGCAACCCGACUUCGUGAAGCUGGAUUCGCUAGUAAUCGCGCAUCAGCCAUGGCGCGGUGAAUACGUUCCCGGGCCUUGUACACACCGCCCGUCAAGCCAUGAAAGCCGGGGGUACCUGAAGUACGUAACCGCAAGGAGCGUCCUAGGGUAAAACUGGUAAUAGG
rnacentral:rRNA from 1 species